rnacentral:rRNA from 1 species
AGAGUUUGAUCCUAGCUCAGAAUGAACGCUGGCGGCGUGCUCAACACAUGCAAGUCGAACGCGAAAAGGGGACUUCGGUCCCGAGUAGAGUGGCGCACGGGUGAGUAACGCGUAAGUAAUCUACCACUGUAUCUGGAAUAACCCACCGAAAGGUGAGCUAAUACCGGAUACGUUUAUCUUGAUGCGAAUGAUGAUAAAGAAAGGUGGCCUCUUCAUGAAAGCUACUGUACAGGGACGAGCUUGCGUACCAUUAGCUAGUUGGUAGGGUAAUGGCCUACCAAGGCGAAGACGGGUAGCCGGUCUGAGAGGGCGAUCGGCCACACUGGAACUGAGAUACGGUCCAGACUCCUACGGGAGGCAGCAGCGGGGAAUAUUGGGCAAUGGGGGAAACCCUGACCCAGCGACGCCGCGUGAGGGAUGAAGGUUUUCGGAUCGUAAACCUCUGUUUGUACGGGGAAGAAGAAGUGACGGUACCGUACGAGGAAGCCCGGCAAACUACGUGCCAGCAGCCGCGGUAAUA